CACCGUUUUCGAUUCUCUGCUGUACGUACUAACUUGACAGGCAAUAUCUUAAAUCAAGCGCUAACGGUAUAUUUUCAUGAAAAAAUUCAAUGUUUUGUUGCACCAGAUAAGUCGUGAUUUGAAUUCAAGCUACUUGGCAGAUCCCGUACACAUCUAUCGGAUUCGGAGAAAAGCCGCAAGGCUACAAUAACAAGUGAUUAUCUGUCACCUAAUAACCGUAUUUCGCCACUUUCCUUCUUUUAAAGGCUAAUCUUCAGUCCAAAACUACACAUGUAUGAAGUCGGCAUACAGCAGUUCCAGGACCAGGAUUCAGAGAUUCAAAUUGGUGUUGAAGGCUUGAAUCACUUUGGCACAGAUCGGAAUGUGCAACACCAGGUAACGUUAAUAUAUACAUAACGCUAUAUAUGACCAGAUAUGACAUGUAGCAUUAUGUAACAGUGUGUUUAGGCCCAUUUUCAGUCAGGCACAUUUUCCGCAGAAAGAACAUUUUGUAAAAUGUGAUUGGCCGACACCUGUUGUCUGUCG